GCACAAGCAGCAGGUGUGGUUGAUGACGACGCCGACGACGCUGGCGGUGAUGUCACUUGUAGUAUAAAAAGCCAGGCAAACGCUCCGUUUUGAAUCAUUUGAGCACCUGUCGUGAGCGCUUUUGGAAGUGUGCUGCUUGAACACCAACCUGCAAGAUGGCCAGACUGUGCGUCACUCUGCUCUCAGCUCUGCUGCUGGCUCUUUAUCUCUCCACCCAGGUGGUCUACGGAGAGAAAAACGCGACCACCAACAACACCGCCGACAGCAUCACGGAGAGGACCAUCGUCCUCCCGCUGCUCCUGCUGCCUCUGACCAUAGCGGCUUUCUUCAUCCCCGACUGGUCCCAGUAAAGGACUUACUCAACCCGUCCUGUUUGGUCCGGCUGGACAGGGGAUGCAUGGAGUCCGUUUCUUCCACCUGGAGUUGCCCGUUUUACGCAUCAGAGCAGGACGCACCCUAUUCUCUGCAUUUCCUUAUCCUUGCUGGGUUUUUCAUGGACUGUGUAUGAAUCUUUUUCGGGGGAGACCAGGGCACCUGUGUAGUACUACUUAGUCAUGUGUAUGGGGGUGGGUUGAAUCGUCUCUAUUAGGAUAUGUCUAUUUUUUUUUUUAAAGAAACUAGUUCUGAAAGACUUCCCUGCAAAAAAUGUAUCUAUUUAAAUGAUGUGAAUCAUGAAACUCGUCUGAAAGUAAAUAAAUCUGUAAAAUGA